ACACUGAUGGUGAAACGGUAUCAUGCUUGCCUUCCACGAGUCUCUUGUCUGAGCUCAAGCGAGCCGGAUCAGCAAGCGGCGCGGGUUCGACUCCCGCUCAGUGUA